GCAAAAUAAUGCCCUCUGCCCGAGAUGUCCAUUCCCAAUCCUCAGAACCUGGGAAUGCAUUACCUUACAUAGCAAAGGCAAUUUACAGAGGUACGGUGCCCCACCCAGAUCCUGUCUUAAGGGCUGGAGCACUCAUUUCCCAGCUGCUGGAAUAUUAGCUGCUAUUGGCUCACAGUUGCAUCCCCCACUGGGAAUUCCCUCCACUCACAGGGAACUGUCUCGCCCACGGUUACUCCUCCUUCUGGGGGCAGCCAAGGACCCAUGACUGCCUAAUGUGGUAACAUGAAGCCCUGACCCCUGGCCUGGAUUUGGGAUAAGUCUGAAAGGCCAUCCCAGCUCCCCGUAAAACUGAGUAAGACUUCCGUUGCAACCACUUUGCAUAUCACUGUCUCCCUCUUCCUAGCCGUGUCUUCCUCACUUCUUUACAUGUGUAUUUCCAGAGAGCAAUCCCCAACCAGCCUUCUGCACCCAACUCUCCAUCUCAGAGCCUGUUUCCUGGGAACCCAGGACAGGCGGAGCAUUUUUACUUAUUGAUGUGCAAUGAAAAGAGUCUUGGAUGCAGUGACAGUGACUGAACAAUUCUGCAAGGUUGAAGGCUAAGAAUAAGGCUUCUGUUACCAAAUAGAGGGAUGAAGAGAAGAAAUUUAGCAAGAACAAAGUUUGGAAAGAACGGCAUUUCCCAAAUUUAUUUCCUGGGAACUAUGUAUGCCUUUGGAAUGCUUCAUGGCCUGAGAAAUGUUCCCGCACAGAAUCAUGUGUAUAACCAAGGUAGAUUUGGUCUUGAAAAUGCCUAUUUCAUUUCACCAACAGCCAAAGUGAGGCAUUUAUAAUGCCCAUUCAAAGCAAGAAAUAAUUCAUUAAAAGUCAAGUACCUAAAUACCACCCUUCACUCUGCAAGUUGCUUAACUUUUUAGGUAAGUUACUCAACCUCUCAGUGCAGCAUUUUCCUAAUCUAUAACAUGUCGGCAGUAAUAGUACCUCCCUCAGGGACUUGUGAGUAUCAAAUGACUUAACAAAUGUAAAGCUCUCAGAAUAGCUCCUGGAAUGUAAUAAACA